rnacentral:rRNA from 1 species
UACGUAGGGUGCGAGCGUUGUCCGGAAUUAUUGGGCGUAAAGGGCUCGUAGGCGGUUUGUCACGUCAGGAGUGAAAACUCGGGGCUCAACCCCCGAGCCUGCUUCUGAUACGGGCAGACUGGAGGUAUGCAGGGGAGAACGGAAUUCCUGGUGUAGCGGUGAAAUGCGCAGAUAUCAGGAGGAACACCGGUGGCGAAGGCGGUUCUCUGGGCAUUACCUGACGCUGAGGAGCGAAAGUGUGGGGAGCGAACAGG